rnacentral:lncRNA from 1 species
GAGUUGGCUUAAUUUAGCUUAAAUGCGGAAAUUGUGAGUUUUGAUGCUAUUGUUGAACGUAUUGAUGCGAUUAGUUGAAGGAGCUGGGUUUAUGGAUCUGGGAGGAUAGUCCAUCACAGCACCCUGUAAUUGGAGCUUCAUCUCAACUGAAUUGGCAUCUAGAAGGUAAAUUUAGCAUCGCAAUUGGGCUAAAUUAAACCUUAAUGCUGAAAUUGUGCGAUUUAUCGGAUUUCCUUGUGUAGUGCUUGGAUAUAGCUCGACUGCUGAUUCCAGAGGAGUUCGGUUGAUCCAGCAGUAUUA